rnacentral:rRNA from 1 species
UACGAAGGGGGCUAGCGUUGUUCGGAAUUACUGGGCGUAAAGCGCACGUAGGCGGAUAUUUAAGUCAGGGGUGAAAUCCCGGGGGCUCAACCCCCGGAACUGCCUUUGAUACUGGGACGCUUGAGUAUGGUAGAGGUUGGUGGAACUGCGAGUGUAGAGGUGAAAUUCGUAGAUAUUCGCAAGAACACCGGUGGCGAAGGCGGCCAACUGGACCAUUACUGACGCUGAACGGCGAAAGCUAGGGGAGCAAACGGGGAUUGAGAAACCCC